rnacentral:rRNA from 1 species
GUGGGGAAUAUUGGACAAUGGGCGAAAGCCUGAUCCAGCCAUGCCGCGUGUGUGAAGAAGGUCUUCGGAUUGUAAAGCACUUUAAGUUGGGAGGAAGGGCAGUAAGUUAAUACCUUGCUGUUUUGACGUUACCAACAGAAUAAGCACCGGCUAACUUCGUGCCAGCAGCCGCGGUAAUACGAAGGGUGCAAGCGUUAAUCGGAAUUACUGGGCGUAAAGCGCGCGUAGGUGGUUUUGUAAGUUGGAGAUGAAAUCCCCGGGCGCAACCUGGGAACUGCCUCCAAAACUGCAUGACUAGAGUACGGUAGAGGGUAGUGGAAUUUCCUGUGUAGCGGUGAAAUGCGUAGAUAUAGGAAGGAACACCAGUGGCGAAGGCGACCACCUGGACUGAUACUGACACUGAGGUGCGAAAGCGUGGGGAGCAAACAGGAUUAGAUACCCGGGUAGUCC